AGUGAACGCUGGCGGUAGGCCUAACACAUGCAAGUCGAACGGCAGCACAGUAAGAGCUUGCUCUUACGGGUGGCGAGUGGCGGACGGGUGAGGAAUACAUCGGAAUCUACUUUUUCGUGGGGGAUAACGUAGGGAAACUUACGCUAAUACCGCAUACGACCUACGGGUGAAAGCAGGGGAUCUUCGGACCUUGCGCGAUUGAAUGAGCCGAUGUCGGAUUAGCUAGUUGGCGGGGUAAAGGCCCACCAAGGCGACGAUCCGUAGCUGGUCUGAGAGGAUGAUCAGCCACACUGGAACUGAGACACGGUCCAGACACCUACGGGAGGCAGCAGUGGGGAAGAGUGGACAAUGGGCGCAAGCCUGAUCCAGCCAUACCGCGUGGGUGAAGAAGGCCUUCGGGUUGUAAAGCCGUUUUGUUGGGAAAGAAAAGCAGCAGGUGAAUACCCCGCUGUUCGGACGGUACCCAAAGAAUAAGCACCGGCUAACUUCGU
rnacentral:rRNA from 1 species